rnacentral:misc_RNA from 2 species
GUAGGAGUGAGCCUGCUCGCGAUGGCGUCAGGUCAGUCAAUUCAUUUCUGGCUGACACUCCGCUAUCGCGAGCAGGCUCACUCCUAC